AUAUUGAAUAUAUUUCCAUUUUCCGCCCCUCAAGUAUAGGCAGUCAACAAAACUUCUCUUAUCCGUUUUCACUAAACAAAAAAAACUUGUCCCAUAUUCCAUCUGCAUAAAACUAAUGAAGUGAAUUUAAUUAUUAGUAUUUAUCGAGUAUAGCAGAUAUCAACUGUUUCCGAUUAAGAUUUUCUCUUCGACCUGUUGUGUUGGAUAAUUUGGAAAAUUGUUGAAUCAAUUGGAUUUUGCUGAUUUUAUUUUAUAUUGUUUUGGAAAUCAAGUAAAAUCUCCGUCUUGUACGGGAUAAAUCGACAUACUUCGAUAGAAAACUCUAGAAAAGCCGCCUUCCAUCUUAGGCUUCUUUUGAUAAGCAUACAAUUUGGCGUGUUGGUUUGUGCAAACUGUUUCCUGAGACCUAUAGGCACCCCCAUACGAGGUGUUGGAACAACUUUUCUGGCUGGAAGCGGAAAGAAGUCAAUCUUCAUAAUCAUCUACGGGAUCUCUUUCUCUGGAUGAGUAGCAUCUUUCACUUUCCUUAUAUAAUUUCACAAUCUGAACUAUUUUUGUUGGACAUUUUAGUUAAAAUAAUAAUAUUGGACCAUAUAUCUAUUGAUUCGGAAAUCCGAAUAUUCAUAUAUUAUAGUUAUUUAUCUUCUCUUGACAUAUGUUAUUAUAAUACACCUUUCUAUAAUUUUGAAUACUUUUUGAAGAUAUUUUGAUCACUGUGAAGAUAUUUGUACAUGAACGCCGGCAUUCAUAUAUUCCAUCCAUUCACUUGUGGUGCACCUAAUUAAAACUCAUUCAUAGAUAUAUCUGAAUUCAACUUCAAAAUCAUAACACUUUUCUCUUCAAAAUCUUUCAUUAAAUUUGGUAGUUUUGGGAACUAUAAUAGAAAAGUAGGGACUGUUAAUUGUAUAUUAAAUAUUUUUAUUAAAACUAUCUGGCGCCCCCCC